rnacentral:rRNA from 1 species
CGAGUGGCGAACGGGUGAGUAACACGUGGGUGAUCUGCCCUGCACUCUGGGAUAAGCCUGGGAAACUGGGUCUAAUACCGGAUAGGACCAUGCUUUAGUGUGUGUGGUGGAAAGUUUUUCGGUGUAGGAUGAGCCCGCGGCCUAUCAGCUUGUUGGUGGGGUAAUGGCCUACCAAGACGGCGACGGGUAGCCGGACUGAGAGGUUGGUCGGCCACAUUGGGACUGAGAUACGGCCCAG